rnacentral:rRNA from 1 species
UUUGAAAGGGGUUGUGGCUGGCCCUUUCCGGGCAUGUGCACGCCUCGCUCAUUCCAACUCUCAACACCUGUGCACCCACUGUGGGUCGGUGCGUGAGGGGGUCUCUCCCUUUGCCGCCUUCCUAUGUCUUUUAUCACACGCACCUGUAUCGGAAUGUAUUCGCGCUUUUUAAAACGCAUCAAUAUAACUUUCAGCAACGGAUCUCUUGGCUCUCGCAUCGAUGAAGAACGCAGCGAAAUGCGAUAAGUAAUGUGAAUUGCAGAAUUCAGUGAAUCAUCGAAUCUUUGAACGCACCUUGCGCCCUUUGGUAUUCCGAAGGGCAUGCCUGUUUGAGUGUCAUUGUAUUCUCAAAUUCCCCUCCUUUGGGGGGAUUUGGAUUUGGAGGUUUUUUGCGGUCGAGAAGACCGCUCCUCUUGAAUGCAUUAGCUGGAACCUUUUGCGGUUCGGCUUCGGUGUGAUAAUUAUCUGCGCCGUGGUCGUCGCAUGUUCGGGAUCCGCUUCCAAUCGUCCUCGGACAAAUUUUUUGACAUCUGGCCUCAAAUCAGGUAGGACUACCCGCUGAACUUAAGCAUAUCAAUAANNNNNNNNNNNNNNNNNNNNNGGAUUCCCCUAGUAACUGCGAGUGAAGCGGGAYGAGCUCAAAUUUAAAAUCUGGCGGUCUUUGGCCGUCCGAGUUGUAGUCUGGAGAAGUGCUUUCCGCGCUGGACCGUGUACAAGUCUCUUGGAACAGAGCGUCGUAGAGGGUGAGAAUCCCGUCUUUGACACGGACUACCAGUGCUUUGUGAUGCGCUCUCGAAGAGUCGAGUUGUUUGGGAAUGCAGCUCAAAAUGGGUGGUGAAUUCCAUCUAAAGCUAAAUAUUGGCGAGAGACCGAUAGCGAACAAGUACCGUGAGGGAAAGAUGAAAAGCACUUUGGAAAGAGAGUUAAACAGUACGUGAAAUUGCUGAAAGGGAAACGCUUGAAGUCAGUCGCGUCGUCCGGAACUCAGCCUUGCCUCGGCUCGGUGCAUUUUCCGGUUGACGGGCCAGCAUCGAUUUCCAUCGUCGGACAAAGGUCUUGGGAAUGUGGCACCUUCGGGUGUGUUAUAGCCCUCGAUUGCAUACGUCGGUCGGGAUCGAGGAACUCAGCUCUGCUCAGGAUGCUGGCGUAAUGGCUUUAAACGACCCGUCUUGAAACACGGACCAAGGAGUCUAACAUGCCCGCGAGUGUUUGGGUGGUAAACCCAGGCGCGUAAUGAAAGUGAAAGUUGAGACCUCUGUCGUGGAGGGCAUCGACGCCCGGACCUGACCUUCUGUGACGGCUCCGCGGUAGAGCGUGUAUGUUGGGACCCGAAAGAUGGUGAACUAUGCCUGAAUAGGGUGAAGCCAGAGGAAACUCUGGUGGAGGCUCGUAGCGAUUCUGACGUGCAAAUCGAUCGUCAAAUUUGGGUAUAGGGGCGAAAGACUAAUCG